GCCUUGCUAGUUCAACGGAUAGAACGAGGACCUGCUAAGUCCGCGAUGGGGGUUCGAUUCCCCCGUGAGAUU
rnacentral:tRNA from 1 species